rnacentral:rRNA from 1 species
UUAAGCCAUGCAUGUCUAAGUUCACACUGUCUCACGGUGAAACCGCGAAUGGCUCAUUAAAUCAGUCGAUGUUUAUUAGAUGAAAACUAUCCUACUUGGAUAACUGUGGCAAUUCUAGAGCUAAUACAUGCUAACCAAGCUCCGACCCUCGUGGAAAGAGCGCUUUUAUUAGUUCAAAACCAAUCGUCGUAGCCCUUCGGGGGUGCGGCGUCCCGAUUGGUGACUCUGGAUAACUUUGUGCUGAUCGCAUGGCCUUUGNGCNGGCGACGCAUCUUUCAAAUGUCUGCCCUAUCAAAUGUCGAUGGUACGUGAUAUGCCUACCAUGUUUGUAACGGGUAACGGGGAAUCAGGGUUCGAUUCCGGAGAGGGAGCAUGAGAA